GCGCGUUCACGCGUCCUGCACAGGCGUUCACGCGCGUUAUAGUUUUACGCAGAUGUAAUUAUCAGAGCUAUUCUAAAAUUGAGCAUACAAGGUUAGCAUCAAAAGUCAUAACCAAAGUUGCUUUCUAUCGAGUCAGACCACUGUCGGGCCUCUUUGGAGCGCUCUCGGGCGGCUAUUUCCAGUCAUGACAGUGGAAAGACCAAAAUCUAAAAGAAAGUCGGUCAAGAUUACUAUCAAAAAACAUUUUUAAAUUAAGAAAUACAAUAUGACGAUAUUGAAAUCAUAAAUUGUGUUUCUGAACCUCAUUUUACGCUAAAACACUAAAUUUUAACGGCUUGUAUAACUAAUGCGCAUGCGCGUUAGUGAGUUGAUUGAUAGGCGAUGUCUGUAUCUAAAAGGUGAUUGGCUCUUUUACCUGUAACGCGGGAAUUCCUUUCUACAUCCGUUUACCGUUGGUUGCUCUCUGGUUGAGCGUUCCAAUUUCUCGUAUUAAUUUUAAUAGGAGUGGCCCGUCGCUGCUAAAGUGUCUCUGCGCAUAACGCAACGCUGCGAUGGCGAGGAAACAAGAGGCCUGUUCUUUCUGAAUGGAUGUCUAUGGAGGAGAUACUUCCACUUACUGAAUAAACUACUUUUCUUUUAGGAUUCAACAAUUAAAUUCAACAAUCCGAGAUGCUUGAAUUUGUGCACCAGGAGUGGCAUAACGUCGCCCAGCAGCCAUGUGAAAGACUGGCAGAGGGUCUGAAAACAGCAUCUUUUGUGUUAUUUUGACCAGUUGUCAUUUUCUGCAAAUAAAUGCUCUAAAUGACAAUAUUUUUAUUUGUAAUUUGGCAGAAAUGUUGUCAAUACUUUAUAGAAUAAAACAUAAUGUAAAUUUUUCCAGAGCUGUAUAUAUAUAUAUAUAUAUAUAUAUAUAUAUAUAUAUAUAUAUAUAUAUAUAACUGGAUCACUGACACAACAUUAAACUGCCAGCUGGAGGUGAAGCCACCGGAAGUGUUCGAGCGGCCAUCUUGGUAUGCCCAAACUCUCAUAGAGCAUCAAUGACUGACAGGUGAAAACACCCCCGUUUCACCGUCUCCGACCUGCGGAUUCGACAGAUGCAUUUCGCCCUCUAGUGACGCUCAUGUUUGAUUGGCUCGUUAUGGACAAUAUUCGUUACGAGGGAGAAGAUACAUGUGGAUCACGAUGUCAGAGAAUCACCUGAUGUUCAGUCUAUCAGUACAGCACAACAAUCACCAAACGAAACGGCUAAACUGUUCUCAAGUACAUAAAGUUGUAAUAUCUGCUUGUUUAGAGUGACCAUACAUCCUAAAGGGACUUUAAAAACGUUUCUAAUUCAUCUUAAAUGCCCGGGAUUUUCCUGUUUUCAUAUUGAAGCGCUCGCUGUUGUCAUACAUGGAUGUCAUAAAUAAACAAGUAACUCUGAACAAACACUUGGACGAUCACAAUAAAUGUCUGUUUGUAUCUCUUGAACUUGUUUACAUUCAGCUGAUGAAGUUUGUUAGUGAUGGAUGCUGUUGAUAUAGAUACUCAUAACUCGCUCAGACUCUCAAGAAACAUAAAUAAAUAAUGACAU